UACAGAGGGUGCGAGCGUUAAUCGGAAUUACUGGGCGUAAAGCGCACGUAGGUGGCGACGUAAGUCGGGUGUGAAAGCCCCGGGCUCAACCUGGGAAUUGCAUUCGAGACUGCAUUGCUGGAGUACGGAAGAGGAAGGCGGAAUUCCCGGUGUAGCGGUGAAAUGCGUAGAUAUCUGGAGGAACACCGGUGGCGAAGGCGGCAUCCUGGACCGGCAUUGACGCUGAGGCGCGAAAGCCAGGGGAGCAAACGGG
rnacentral:rRNA from 1 species